ACAGCCAAACUGUUUCAACAAGGACAUCGCCAAAACAAGAAGAAUGUUGAGUAUGUGUUGGCUGCGUGCAGGAUUAAUUCUACAGCAGCCAUGUGUUGUCUUCUUCACAAAAAAGAUCCUAUUUGAACAGCAUACACAAUCAAAUGCUUUAUAGUGGGCAUGGAUGAAGACGCCAUCAACGAGGCCACUGAAGAAACCAGUGUUGGGAUUUAUGUUCUUAAAGAACAUGCUUCAAGUGAUGAACCAGGGGACAUUGGUAUUGUCCUUGAAGGCAUCAAGAUGUUGCAAGAUCUUUAUAAUGUAGCAUUACCUGUUGCUACGCUGUUUGGACUAAUGUACAGUAUGCCCUGAACUUCAGCUACCCUGCUUGCCUUUGAUCCAAAAGAUUUGCAUGGAACUUGAGGAGGGAAACUUAC